rnacentral:lncRNA from 1 species
GGCCUUGCUCUUAUGUCAUUUGACUAAAGGUUUCAUAGACCAAAGAUAAUCAUCCAACUUGUUGGAAUACUGAAACAAUUGCUGCCUGCUGUCCACACACCACAUAAAAUAUGUGGAUUUCGUAAAUUCUGCAAAAAAGGUUUGGAAGCUGAUCAAUCAAUACUGGAACUCCCUCUUCUCCAGAAGAGACAUCCUGGCCUCCAUGCAGAGGAAUGUGUGGAUGGACAUAUAUUUAAGGAAGACACUAAACCAGAAACUACUACAUUACACCCUCUUAGAAGACUUCUAAGAUUGUUGUCAUGCCUACCACAGACAUUCAGAUGAUGUGUAUUGUUGAUUGUGAUUUCAUGUUUGGACCUGAUGAAGGAGUUUGAAGUCUCCAGAGCAGCAAAGAGAGUGGGGAGUAGAACUCAUCAUCUUUAGGUCACUCAUCAUCG